rnacentral:rRNA from 1 species
UACGGAGGGUGCAAGCGUUAUCCGGAUUCACUGGGUUUAAAGGGUGCGUAGGCGGGCAGGUAAGUCAGAGGUGAAAUCUCCGAGCUUAACUCGGAAACUGCCCCUGAUACUAUUGGUCUUGAAUAUCGUUGAGGCAGGCGGAAUACAUCAUGUAGCGGUGAAAUGCUUAGAUAUGAUGUAGAACACCGAUUGCGAAGGCAGCUUGCUAAACGAUCAUUGACGCUGAGGCACGAAAGCGUGGGGAUCAAACAGG